rnacentral:rRNA from 1 species
UGACAAGAAAUAACAAUACGGGGCUUAAUGUCUUGUAAUUGGAAUGAUGGGAAUUUAAACCUCUUCCAGAGUAUCAAUUGGAGGGCAAGUCUGGUGCCAGCAGCCGCGGUAAUUCCAGCUCCAAUAGCGUAUAUUAAAAUUGUUGCAGUUAAAAAGCUCGUAGUUGAAUUUCUGCUGCAUUUCAUUUCUCUUUCUGAGUUUGUUUUUGCGGCUUAUUUCGGUUUGAUUUUUUCUUUCCGGAUGAUUACUUUGAGAAAAUUAGAGUGCUCAAAGCAGGCUUUUGCCUUGAAUAGUUUAGCAUGGAAUAAUAAAGUAGGACUUUGGUUCUAUUUUGUUGGUUUUAGGUACCAAAGUAAUGGUUAAUAGGAACAGUUGGGGGCAUUCGUAUUUAACUGUCAGAGGUGAAAUUCUUAG